rnacentral:tRNA from 1 species
UCCCUGGUGGCUCAGCAGGUAAAGAAUCUGCCUGCAAUGCAGGAGACCCGGGUUCGAUCCCUGGAUUGGGAA